rnacentral:lncRNA from 1 species
GAAAAUAUAUAUUCCAGAUGGGCGGCAGAAGCACCCGCCAUCUGUGCUGGCGGGUGGCUAACGUCGCCCGCCAGCACAGACGACAUUUGUUCUGGUGGAUGCUCGACCCGCCAGCACAUGCACUUGUAGUCAGCAGCACAAAUCUUUUAUGACCUAGUGAAAGCCGGUCGUCGAGAAUUUGAAGAGCGCGAAGCAAAACGCGCAACCGGCGACGACGAGCACGAGUGCGGCCCACGGGCUGCUGCAGUGGUCACGCAGGAACUCGGCCUUGUGCCUGCGCCAGCUCGAGCGGUAGUACCGGUUCAGAUCGGCGAACAUGGCGGCGAAGCUGUGGUCCUCGUACUCCAAGCUGGCGCAGUCGCCCAGCUGCUGGAAGACCUUGGCCGCCGCGUCGUCAUCGGUGCCCAGGAGGUUGUCGACGACGCCGCGCUUCUGGAGGUGCUCCACGUCCUCGCCCGUCCUAACCCGGGAACCCACCAGCGCCGCGUAGCGCGACACCGGUGGACGUGGCUCUUGGCAGGCGAACUCAUCCUUUUGGUGGUGCCACGCAUCCUGCACUUUGUCCUUCACCUUGGAAAUGCCAGGGAUGUGAGUUACUCGUCUUGGCUCCUUUUUGUUUCGAGCCGGAGCCGGCUGCGCCUUCGAGCUAGUUCCACCACUCCCAGGCUGCGGCACCGGUAGAUCGGCGAACAUGGCGGCGAAGCUAUGGUCCUCGUACUCCAAGCUGGCGCAGUCGCCCAGCUGCUGGAAGAACUUGGCCGCCGCGUCGUCGUCGGUGCCCAGGAGGUUGUCGACGAUGCCGCGCUUCUGAAGGUGCUCCACGUCCUCGCCCGUCCUCACCCGGGAACCCACCAGCGCCGCAUAGCGCGACACCGGUGGACGUGGAUCUUGGCAGGCGAACUCAUCCUUUUGGUGGUGCCACGCAUCCUGCACUUUGCCCUUCACCUUGGAAAUGCCAGGGAUGUGAGUUACUCGUCUUGGCUCCUUUUUGUUUCGAGCCGGUGCCGGCAGCGCCCUCGAGCUAGUUCCACCACUCCCAGGCUGCGGCACCGGUGGACGUGGAUCUUGGUAGGCGAAGUCGCUCCUGCUUUGGGCUUCCCAUCCCGGACUGGGACUGGCUCCUCCUCCUCCUACCAUGGUCAGGCGGCCAAAGGCUGAUGAGAGUACGGAAUCCGUAUAGAAAUGGCAGGCAACUUUAAACCUCAAACAUAUUACAAAUUAAACUCUUCCAUCGAUAUAGCAGCGCUGCUAGCCUAAUUAGAAGUAUAAAAUCACUGCUACUACUGAAAAAUGGAACCGAAAUCGUAGCUAAAUCGAAGAUCUUGUGCACCUAGCUAUAGUUGUUACCUUCUUCAGCAGAGGAGGACGCUUGCCUGUUUUUUGCGUAAAAGGAAAAUGCCAUCAGUUGAUUGUAAUGCUCUCCAGCUUAGACCCGGAUCAAUUGUAGCAGGAGAGUAGUAGUGCUCAACAUGAGCUGAACCCGUUUAGUUUAUAUAUACUUAAUCUCAGCUCUCGUUGGACUUUUGAACUAGGGAGUGAGGUGAGAGGCAACUUCCCUUCCUUUUCUUCUGUCUCUUUCAGUCUCUCUACAUCUGAAGAACAAUUCUGAAGUCAAGGUCGUCAAGGUGCGAGUGCAGCCGGGGGACCGAUUAGGCCCACAUGAUCACAUGGGUCGUUGAAGAAGUCUAAGCCACAUGGUUUUAAAAGACGUACAACCCAUCACGCUGGCGGCUGGUCUACGGGAUGAAGAAAUUGUUCAACUUUUUUUAAGCGGAGAAGAAAUUAUUCAACUUUUUUUGAGCGGAGAAGAAAUUAUUCGACUUGACUUUGACUAUUUGAGAUUGGUGCGAACUUUAAUGGACGAACGAGACCGAAGCGGGUGGGAGAACCACAGCAGCUUUAGGUGGACCUAGACACGUGACAACGCGCGGAUGGCCGUUGUGCAUGGGUUGAAUGGAGAUUCUAUUUAGAUUUUAAAAUUAAAUUUCAUUUUUAUUUCAAACUGUAAGCGUUUUGGAUUCCGUUUGAACCAUGGUGUUACUGAGAAUUUAUGCAACAAAACAAGAUCCAACAUGAAUAUAUUUUAUUUUUAAAAAAAAUGACUUUUUUUGUAAAAUGUUGAGUCAUAAUGUUGGUGAAUGUAAAAAAGGUGAAGAAAAAUGUUGGUGUGUGCGAAAAAAAUGUUGAGCCAUAAUGUUGGUGAAUGUAAAAAAGUUGAAGAAAAAUGUUGGUGCAUAUAAAAAUAUUAAUCAACGUCAAAAAAUAUUGGUGACAAUUAAGCUCAGCCUUAAUGAAAAUAUUGACAAAUGUUAAAAAAUGUUAGUGAAUGAAAAAAAGAUAUAGAAAAUGUUGGUACAUGUAAAAAAGUUAAAGAAAAAAUGUUGAACAAGAAAAAAUGUUGGUCAACAUCAAUAAAAUAUUGGUGUAUUCGAAAAAUAUUUAAAAAUAUUUUGAUUCAAAAUAUGAUCAAAUGUUGUCUUGUUUUGUAGAUCUCGUCAUAAGAAAUAUCAUGGUUCAAUCAAAAUUUGAUUUGGACACUUAGCUUGGAAAUUACGAAUUUUGUUCUUCGGAUCUUUGUUUUGCACAAAAACCAAAACACAUGCCAGCUACUUGCACCAGCUAAUCAUGCAUUGCACUUUCUUCUUUUUUUCAUUGUUAUCUGCGUUGCGGGGCCUUGUGGGCUGUGCGAUCUCUAAAGUUACUAGAGCAGCUUUAACGUGUGUUCUAAGGGGCCUUGUGGCCUCGGUUGCCAUGGUGUCAGGCGUCGUGAUCGGUUUUGGUCUCCUAAAUUUUAAACCUUUUUAAAAUUUACUUAACAUCAGAUUUUGGUACUUGAUGACGUUUAUCAAACGGGGAUUGCUGUACUACACUCGAGUGUAAAUCCUUCUUCAUACACUUGGAUUUUCCUCUUCCACAUCUUCCCCUCUUCUCCACCUCCGGCGAUCUUUUAAUGUUUGGGGUUGGGGGGUUCGGUGUUACCUGUGUUCGCCGGACCUAGAGGGAGCUCCGGGGUGGUAGGAUAGCGGGUGGUGGUGGCAGUAGAGACGGCGGCGAGGUGGGGCCGCAGGGGCACCGCCUGCCGGGGCAGCAGUGGACUCCCAGCUGGAUGGUGAAGGGGUGGGGCCGAGCACCGGCGACGAAUUGGUGUGGGGACGGUUGAGAUAGCGACAACGAAUCCAGCAGUAUGGUGGGAGCUGCCGAAGAUGGACAAGGCGGUGGCUAACACAGGGUGAAUGGUGGAAGUGACCUCAAUCGGCAUGGACAAAUGGAUGAGGGAGGGUGGGCCAUGCCGACACCAUCCAGCACCGGUGAGGCGGAGAGCAGCGGUGGUGCGGGACGGAGGCGGCGCGUCGAGAGGAAGAAGACGCUCGCGACUCCCCUCGACUCGCGAUGAGUGGAUAUGACCUGUCGUGGGGUGGAGACAAAGUUUGUCGAAGUUGAUCUAAGCCACUCAUUUUAGAUCCAAGAGCUAGGAAUUCGAGCGUGGAAGAAAAAAAAUUGCGAGUGUACAGUAGAUAGCCCCUAUCAAAUUCAUAUGCUUGGGUUUGGGUAUCAAACUUAAGUUACAAUUCUUGUAUCAGAUAUAACAAAAUCAUUCAAUGGACUGUGAAAAGGUUUUUAAUUCGGGUUUAGUAACUAUUGAAUUGAUUGACCAGUUCAUCGUCUACGUAACAUGUCCAGAUCACAUGCACGCCUUCCGGACCCAAGCAGUCUUGGCACACUCAACUAAUUGGUUAGUCUCUAACUUGUUUUUGUCUUUGUUUCCCAGGAUAAUCGAAGAAACCUUUUGGUGCAACUUCUUCCCCGCUCUUUCCUUCAUCUCCCCAGCCUUUUGGUGCAUCACCGCCUUCGCUUUCUCCUUUUUUUUGAAAGGAAAAGGAGGAUAAACCCCUACUUAUUAUAUAUUAAAAAAAUGAAAGGGUACAAAGGUAACAACAAAAAUCUAAAGAAGGAGAAGAAGAACAACAACACGCUAAGGGGUUACAGGGUAUGCAACCAGACAUUCAUAGAGGGAACUAAGGCGGGACAAGCUCUGUGAAGUAACAGGGAGAAUUCAUAUUUGAAUUUACUUUUGCACAUUUUUACUGAUGGAUCUAUUCCCUUGAACAUCAGUCAUUCCUAGUUGUCCAGAUGCUCCAUGGCAUAAUGAUUAUGACUUCCAUGAAGAAAGGAACUGUGAGCUUGUUCUUGAUUUGUCUGAUGAUCUGAAGGAUCGGUCUGGUGGUGAUAACUAAAAUUCCAAUUGAGUUCCAGCAUGCUUUGGGAAAGUUACAUCGGAGGAAUAGAUAUGCCACAUUUAACAUCUUUUGCAGGAUGCAUAAUUCGCAAGUGUAGGAGCUCAGAUCCAUUUGUUUCCUUCUCAAUAUAUCUUUUGUACUAAGACAAUCUUUGAGCAAUAGCCAGAAGAAGACCUUGUGUUUCAUUUGAGAUUUAGAUUUCCAAAGCCAUGACUAUGCUGGGUGGGUGUUUCUCUAUCAUAUCAUAGCCUUGUACGCUUUGGAUGUUGAAAACAUUGAGUUGCCCCAAAUGUAUGUCCACUUGUAAGGUUCAUGUACGACGUUCAUGCCUUCAAUGAGUUGCUGCCAUCAAUGAGUUGCUGUAAUAUAAGAAAUUGUGAGUGUGCCUGGGUUGUUAGGGGUAGGUUGAAAUUCUGGAUGAAACUUGGUUGGUUAACAGCCUCUUUGAAAGUAAUGUUGUGGUCUUUGGCAAAAGAGAAAAGCUUCGGAUGAACCUGUGAUUGCACUGCUCCAUUCCAAAUAUCUUUCCAAAAGAGUAUUGUGGAGCCUUCUGCCACUAAAACUGAAGCAAUUCCUUUGUAUGUGUCCAAUAAUUUGGCUACAUCCCUCCACCAAAAGGAGCCUUUUCUUUGCUGACCUGGCAGUCGACCAUUAGCAUAGUAUUUUCCCCAUACAAGGUUGACCCAAGGAAUGUCAGCCUUAGAGAAAAACUUGAGUAGAAACUUUAGUAGCAUGGCAUCAUUAUGUGCAGCAAGGUUGGUAACUCCUAAUCCACCUUGUUUCUUGGGCAGGCAUACCAUAGGCCAAGCAGCUUUGGUAGGCUUCUUGGAAUUCAUGCCUGAGCCCCUCCAUAAGCAGUGCUUCCUAUAUUUGUCCAAUUGUUUUAUGACCCCUUUGUGUAAUUUAAGUGUUGAUGUAUAGAAGACUGCUGAGGAAGAGAAGACUGAGUUAACCAUCUCCAAUUUUCCCCCUUUGCUCAGGAAAACUGAUGAGCUACUAAGGCUCUUUUCUAUCUUUUGGAUGAGGGGCAGAAAGUUUUCCAUGUUAGGCUUAGUCAUUCCUAGGGGUAGUCCUAGGUAAGUGAAGGGAAGAGAGCCUUUUUGACAAUCAAAAGUUCUGGCGAGAUCAUCGAGUUUUGCAUCCGAAAUGUUCAGAGGUACUAUAACCGAUUUACUAUAAUUGAGCUUCAGCCCAGUCGAGGCAGCAAAGGUGUUGAGAAGGUCUUUGAGAAAUAAGAGUUGGUUUGGGCAUGCCUCCAUAACAAGAAGGGUGUCAUUUGCAUAUUGAAUAAUUGGAAAAUCUGUCCCUACUCUUUCUGGAAUUGGUAGUUUAAGGGAUCCUUGAUCUUGGGCUCUGUUGAUUAUUGAUUGGAGCAGGUCUGCUACCAGAAUAAAAAGAAGGGGUGAGAGGGGAUCAUAUUGUCUUACUCCUCUUCUGCAGUGGAAGACUUUCCCUGGAACUCCAUUCAGAAGAAUUGAAGAUGUGCCUGAUUCUAGUAUAUCUUUGAUCCAUUUAAUCCAUCUAUCCCUGAAGCCUUUAUGUUUUGAGGCCUUGCAGAUAUGUAAGUAUUCAAAGGCCCAGGCCAGAUAGUCAUGUAUAAAUCUUGAUCUAAUGAACCCAUAUUAAUUUUUGUGUAUCAAUCGUAGAAUCACUUGUUGCAGCCUGUCUGCAAGUAGCUUGGUUAGAAGCUUAACUGUGGAGUUCAGAAGAGAAAUUGGUCUAAAGUCUCCAACCAAGGAUGGACAGUCCUUCUUGGGGACCAGAGUGAUGUAUGAGGCAUUGAUGCUUCUUAGGCAUAUGUUCCUUUCAAAGAAAUCCUCACAGAGUUUGUAGAAAUCCUGAGAAAUUAGAUUCGUGCACUUUUUGAGGAACUCUCCAUUGAAGCCAUUAGGUUCUGGGGACUUGUUGCAAGGUAGCUCUGUAAUUAUCCUAUCAAUUGCUUCUUUAGUAAAUGGACUUUCUAACCAGUCCAACUUGUUGUCAGUCUGGAGUAGAGAGAAAAGGUUAGAGUACAUGUGUGUGAACUCUGAAGGUCCUAUUCUUUCUUUAUAAGUGUUCCAGAGCAUAGCUGCCUUAGCUUCAUGGUCAAACACUUCACUUCCGAAUUCAUCAGUCAGGGAGCUAAUGGUGUUCUUCCUGUGUCUGAUGAAUGCAUUGGCAUGGUAAAACUGGGUGCAUUCAUCGCCAAACUUGACCCAUUUGAUUAUUCCUUUUUUACUUCCAGUAGGUCUUUUGUUGAUGAAAGAGGUUCUGCAAGUGGUUUGUAAUUAUGUGCCUAAAGUUCCAUUCUUCCAAGGUUAAAUCUCUUGUUUCUUCCAAAGUGUCCAGGAGCUGGAACAAGUCUUUGCGAUUUCUGAUGACAGUUGCUAAAUUUGGUAACUGGGCUUUCCAAGCAUUUAACACUCUUCUUAGGUUCUUAAAUUUUGUACUUAUCCUCUUAGCACUAUCAGUUUGAGAGUUGGGCAAAUUCCAUCCAUGUUGUAGAACUGGUACAAAGUUCUCAUGUUCCAACCAAUAAUUUUCAAAUCUGAAUGUCCUAGGUUUGGGGACAUUUGUGCCUACCGUGAUGGUACAUGGGGUAUGAUCUGAGGUGUCUCUGGACAACCCUGAAGCAAAGGAAUUUGGAAAGGAAGUUGUCCAAGUAUUGGAUGUGAAGAACCAGUGUAAUCUUUCCAGUGAAGGAUUUUGUUGCUUGUUUGUCUAGGUAAAUUUGCAUCCUCUGAGGGGUAGUUCCGCUAAUCUGAGACUAUUGAUGGCUUCAUUAAAGGCCAGCAUUUCCUGGAGAUUCCCUCCUGGCUCGUUUCUAUCUUCAGACUUCCUGAGAAGGUUGAAGUCUCCUACAAUAAGCCAUUUUUCAUCAUCGGGCAUGCUAAUUCUUUUCAACCAGUUCAGGAAUGCAGAUUUACCUUCUGUAGUACGGGUGCAUAGAUAUUAGUUAGAAUCCAGUUUUCUCUAGUCAACUUGCAUCAGAAUUGCACUGAUUGGGCAUAGUCGUUUUGAAAGGCCAAGUGGCCACUAAACUUGGAACUGUUAUAGGCAAUGAUACUCCCCCUGAAUUUCCCACUAAUGGGAAGAAUACAUAGUCAUCCAUGUAUGCAGGACAAAAAUUUGUAAUAUAUGUAGAAUCAAAGAAUUCCUUCUUAGUUUCUUGUAGGCACAGAGUAUCACAUUUGGAUUCAUAAACCUUGCUUUUGACCACAUCCCAUUUCUCAUUAGAGUUAAUACCUCUAAUAUUCCACGAUAGAAUGACUCAAUUCCUUUUAUGUUGUCCCAGAUUCAUAGAUGCUCGUUGAGAGGCACAACAGAAUGCAUGUGCAACAUGCAAAUAUCCUUAGUAUAUGCAAACCACAAUAAUUAGACAUCCUAAUUAAGGUAAAGUUCAUCAGGAUCAACCACAGGUUCAUAUGGAGGAAUAAAGAAGUCCACAUCCCCACAACAUUAUAGUUUAACAAAAGUUUGACUCUUCCCAUUGAGAUAAAAGAUAAACUGGAAGCGAAGAUAGCAAAGAGGAUCCUGCUACUUGUUGAUCUUCUUUCUUGAUUCCUGAGAUUCAAUCUCAUCGAUCUUCUCCUUGCCCUUCUCUCUCUUGGAGCUGAUCACCUUCCUGGAGGUCCUGUGGCUUCCAAUGGCUUGCUUGUUGCUGGUUUUAUUGGAUAGAGUAUCUUCUGACAGAGCUUCAGCAUUUAUCUUGCAAAAUCCAUCCUCAAUCUUCUUAAUGUCUCUAAUUGGUAUGACUGGUGGGGUGGUAGCACAUGCUAAGCAGUUUCUAUUAACACAGCUAUUGUGUUUGAACCCCUCAUUACGGCUCCUAAUCCAGGGGCUCCUUCUGGCUUCAGUCUCCACUUGGGAGGUGAGGCCCUUGGUUUUCACCUUGGCUGGACCAGAUAGAUGGUUAACCUUUCCAUCAGAGCUAUCACUAGCUUCUGUAGAGGGAGAACAUUGAACUUUUGCAUUUUCUAGGCAAGUAGCUGGUAAGGCAAAAGCCAUCAUGGACGAUGUAUUUGUGCAUGUGAGCAUGAACCUCCAAGCUUGAGAUGACAUAAACAUCUUGGCCCAUUCGAAAUGAGACGGAGAGAGCAGCAUGAUAGUGAAGAAAGCAGCCUAAUCCUUGGGAAUCUGAACCACAGGACAUCCUACUAGGGAGAAUUGUCGCGCCCAUAGCUUGUAGACAUCAGGGUUUGUUUUGCUACAACCUUGAGCAUUAGCAUCCAAAAAAUUGUAGCUUAUUCCCAAAAUCACAAAUAUAAGCUCUAAAUAACACAUUCAUAUAAAUGAAAAAUUUCUCCAUUGUACCUUAUUCUAAAAAUCACAAAUUACUCUAGCUCUAAAGCAUAAAACUUAGUAUACUAACCAUGUAUCAAGGGAGGAUGAAAUUUCUAACAUUUAGAACACUUGAAUGAGUGAAAUCCUCAAGAAAUGGUCACAAAUCCGGCAGCACCUCCCCUUAUUUCGCCAUGGAUAGGGUGAAGCUCGAGCUGGAGGAGAUGGCUCGGGCUACAUGAGGAAGGAGGGGUAUUUAUAGGAAGGAAAUUAGUACCGGUUGGGGACACCAAUCGGUACUAAAGGAGGGGGUCAGAAAUUAGUACCGAUUGUUGCCACCAACCGGUACUAAAGGGAUGGUGGUGCUUUAGUACCGGUUGGGGAUACAAAACGGUACUAAUGUAUACCUUUAGUACCGGUUAGUGCCCCCAAUCGGUACUAAAGGGGCUCACGGGAGCCCCCACAGGGACUAUACAUUAGGUCCGAUACUAAUGAUAUUAGUAACGGGUCUAAAAGUGAUCGGUACUAAGCCUUGAGAUGAGAGGUAGAUUUCCUAGUAGUGAGGUAUUUUGGUCUUUUCCCAAGGUGCUCGUUUCCAUUAGCACCUAUUAUCUAGCUCCACUCUCACAUCUAAAGUUUGGACACUUUUUUUAGAGCUCGAAUAAAGUUUAGCUCACCUAUUAGUUUAAAACGGAUAAGCUAGCACUAAAAUUUAGCACUUGGAUUAGCAUCCGGAUCCGAACGAGGUGUAAGUUCAGCUGCGUGUACGACUGGGCUUGGAACCUAUGGAAGCAUAUGUACUUAUGUAGUCUUGCAUGAUACUCUGCACAUGGAUGUAUGUAGAACUAGCAGUGACAGUAAGGAUGGGCAAAGCCAUAGAUGGUCGUCGAGAAUUUGAAGAGCGCGAAGCAAAACGCGCAACCGGCGACGACGAGCGCGAGCACGGCCCACGGGCUGCUGCAGUGGUCACGCAGGAACUCGGCCUUGUGCCUGCGCCAGCUCGAGCGGUAGUACCGGUUCAGAUCGGCGAACAUGGCGGCGAAGAUGUGGUCCUCGUACUCCAAGCUGGCGCAGUCGCCCAGCUGCUGGAAGAACUUGGCCGCCGCGUCGUCGUCGGUGCCCAGGAGGUUGUCGACGAUGCCGCGCUUCUGGAGGUGCUCCACGUCCUUGCCCGUCCUCACCAGGGAACCCACCAGCGCCGCGUAGCAAGACACCGGCUUGCCGUGCCGUCGCCGGCCGUCGUCCCUGACUGUCUGCUCGAACGCGACGAGGUUCACGAGCAGCGGCCAGCUCGCGUGGUCCACCUCCAGGCGCGGCAUCCUCACGACGCCAGCCGCCGCGUCGAACGUGACGUCGAGCAUGUGGGCCGGCGCCUUCUUCUCGAACCGGACGCCGGCCUUGCGGAGCAGGGUGACGGGCGGCACGACCACCGUGCGCGUCGUCGUCUCGGGCUCCGGCGCCGCCUUUCUUCCGAUCCGAACCCUGCACUUGCUGAACCAGCUGGCGGUCACUAUCCAGCGCGGCAGCUGGGGCGCCAUGCCCCGCAUGAAGGCGAACCUUUCGGACACGGCCUUGUUGACCCGGAUGCCCAUCUGACGCAGCUUUUCCACACACCGUGGCGCCGGGCGUGGUGGCGAGGCAUCGGCGGCGACCAGCGCUAUCUCCUCAGCCGUGGGAACGACGGCCUCGUAGAGGAGAUGGAGCAAGUGGCGGAUCUCUCCGGCUUGGGCCGCCCUUUCCAUCUCCGUCGCCGAUAGUUCUGUGGAGGGCGAGAGCCUCAAAUGGGGAAGGAUCAGACUGUGGAGAUGGGACGUCUCAUCCUCAGGCACUACCAAUCGGAAGAGCGCCUCGAGCACGAAGAAGGGGAUCUGGUUCUCCAGUAGCAGGAGGUCAGAGUGAAGCAGGGGAAGCCCCCAGCCCACGUCGCAGAUGUCGUCUUCCUCCUCGUUGUGCCACUUGAUGAAGAACCGGAGGACGAAGCAGCCGUCAAGCAGCAGCAUCUCCCCAAAGUCGUCGGGGCCUCGCCGGGACUGCCCGUCGUCGACCUCCCCACCCAACGGCCCGCCCUUGGCGGCGGCGUCGAAGAUGUCCGUCCUCUCAACGUAGCAGCACCGCGCCCGGUGCUCGACGUCGCGGACGGCUUCGACGCACCUCGCCAGCAAGGUCCGCGGACGACGCUCCCUCAGCAGCUCGCGCAGGUACCUCCACUUGUGCUGCUCCAUGGCGCGCAGCGCCGCCCGACCGCGGUAGUAGGGGCCGACGGACACCAGGCGUGGCUCGUACAGCUCCUUGUUGGCGUCGCGGACAUGGGCGGGGACCCGGAAGAUGGUCGUCGAUCUGCUCCCGCCCUCGCCGUCGUCGUGGAGGAGAAGCCUUUGCUCAACCACGAUCUUCAAGCUGUCCGCCUCCGGUGUUGACGGCGCCGUCACGAACUCGCUCUCGGUUGCCAUGGCGUAAGGUGUUGUGGUUUAGUUUUGGGGCUCUCAGAUGAGCGGGGGGUGGAUAACAGUUAUCAAAGCGUGGCCGAGGUGGCAUUGUUGAUAACGUUUAGCAUGCCUCGGUCUACCCCUCGUCAAUUUUGCAGCUGUAUAGUACAGUUUUUCUUUCAAAUCAACUAUGCACAAUCUCUACUAUUGUUGAAGAGACCGACAUUUCUAUGGUCUUCCUAAGUCACGCAUAAAACCGUGCAAAAGCGACAUAAUGAGUAGAUAAAAGAAAUAGGACGGGGUUACUAUGCACAAAACUAUAACAAAACAGAUUUGUUCUUCAUCAAACGUUUGAUAUUUGGGUUAUGUGUCAAUCGACGCUCUCGGGUGUCGGAUCGUUGGUGUGGAUGGAAGAUAUUGCUCUCGAGCGUUAGAUCGUCGGUGGUCGGAUGGAAGGUCAUUGCUUGUUCACAUUUUUUAUUAAGUAGCCAAAUGUUUUAGUCUUAUUUGGAUAUUUGGAAAACACCCAACCAAAAAUUUUCCAAUAACGAAGAAAGGGAUAUUGCGAUAUACCUAUUAACUAAUUAUUAGGAAAUAUUUAUUGGAAUAGUUUCUCAUUUCUUAUAAUCUUUGUUUCCCGAGCAGAGCGAAGUAGCCUUCUGCAUGACUUUCUUGGAUUUAUCCUUGAACUCAUCCUUUUGGUGGUCCCACGCAUCCUGCACUUUGUCCUUCACCUUGGAAAUGCCAGGGAUGUGAGUUACUCGUCUUGGCUCCUUUUUGUUUCGAGCCGGUGCCGGCAGCGCCCUCGAGCUAGUUUCACCACUCCCAGGCUGCGGCACCGGUGGACAUGGAUCUUGGUAGGCGAAG